rnacentral:lncRNA from 1 species
AUAUGUUCAACGGCCGACCCGCUUGCGCUCCGGAAGUUAGUAGAAGGACAGAGACCACCAACAGAGCGAUGAUCGCUAACCGAACCGAUCUGAACCCGCCUGCCAUUUUGGUUGGUUGAUCCCGAUUUUGAGUUUUGUAGUGAUGUGAAUCGAAGAAUGCUCUGUUUCAGGAGUUUGAAGAUACAGAGGAGGAUUAGGU